UACGUAGGGCGCAAGCGUUGUCCGGAAUUAUUGGGCGUAAAGGGCUCGUAGGCGGUUUGUCGCGUCGGGAGUGAAAACCUCGGGCUUAACUCGGGGCUUGCUUUCGAUACGGGCAGACUAGAGGUAUGCAGGGGAGAACGGAAUUCCUGGUGUAGCGGUGAAAUGCGCAGAUAUCAGGAGGAACACCGGUGGCGAAGGCGGUUCUCUGGGCAUGAUCUGACGCUGAGGAGCGAAAGUGUGGGGAGCGAACAGG
rnacentral:rRNA from 1 species